GAAACUGCCACGGCCUCAGGAGAGAAUGUACUGUAAAGAAGGGUGUUUCUUUAUCAUUUUUUCUUUUCAGCUGAUUACCGUUUUAAACAGGCACAGAUAUUACAUGUGCUUUUUGAGCUGCCUGAAGCACAGACCGCGCAGUGAGCUACUGCUCUUUUCUACACCCAUGCCCAAAAGAAACCAGGUUUCUGAAGCAAAUCCGUGCUGUACCAGUACACUGCACCAGCUUGCUCUGAAGGAAUGGGAGAUUCAGUCUUAAUGAGGAAAUAAGCUAAAAACAUGUACUACCUGUGUGCUCAGAAUUGCUAACACCUGGGGCUGAUGCAGUGAUACCCCAGCCUCCGCUCACCUGUGGCUCCUUAAGCCCAAGGCCUGCAUUACAUUUGUUUUCCCACUUUAACUUCAAUUCACUUCAGCCCUGGUGAACCCUAGCACCUUGUCCUGGCACAGAAACCCCUUCUGGCUGUGAUCCCCAAGCUCUGCUGAGGAAACAUUGCUCGGGCACAUUCCCCUCACUUGGGCUUUCUCAAAGCGUUUCCAUUUUGCCCAAAUAUCAGCGAGAGUCCCCACACCUCUGUGUCCCCUUGUCAGCAGCUGGUGAGCCCAGCUGGGCCCAGCCCCAGGUGCUGCUCGUUGCCUGAGCAAUCCGGCACCUCCCAGCCACCGCGGGGGCUCAAGGUGGGCUGUCUGUCCCUCUGUCCGUCCCCUCCCUGGUUUGUGUGAAGCUGUGGGAGACCCUCUGUAAGGGAAGUCUGGGCGAGCAUGAGGAAGGCAGCUUGUAAGGGCAGCGGGGAGCUUUAUCGUGGUCUGGUGUGCUGCUUCACGGGGCUGCGUGUGGGCCUGGCCGGCGCUGCCUGUGCUGGUCCUGCAAAGCCACGUGCUCUGCCCCGGGAGUUGGUGCUGGAUGAGCAAAAUGUCCUCAGAGCUGAGGUUCAGCAGCGUCCCCACGGUCUGCUGGGUCUUGGCUUUGAGAGAGCAGCGCCGGCGUUGGGGAGUGAGAGCUGCGUUAGUGCAAUGAAACGUGCCACGAAUGUUCCCCGCCGUUCCCAGAGGGAUUGUGAAACCAUUUGGAAAAUAAAGCGGCCUCCUUCCGCGUCGGAGGGGGCAGGUUUGUUGCUUGUUCCCAGCACGGCAUUGCUUCAUGGGCUUUAUUGCUGCCUCAUGCGGCUGUGCCGCGUGCCGGGACCCGGCUGUGGGGUGGGCUCAGUGCCUGCCGGUGGGGCCCUGGCAUCACAUGGAGCUUACCAAGGCUUCGGACCCACAAAACCAUCCCAAAAUAACAACAUGUGGGGCAAUACAAGGCAUCAACCCGUGCCCUUCUGAAAUGCGGACUUAACCACAGCCCCGCACGCCGUGCCACCACUCACCAUGCUUCACCAGCACUGUUCCACCACCAUCAGGGAGCUGGAAGUAGGUGGAGUUGUUGGAGAGACAGCGGCCGCCCCUGCGGAGAGGGGGAAUCGAGGCAGAGCCGUGGUGCUGAGCCCCCCCUGCCCAUAUCCUUCUGGAGAGGCCGGGCACUGAGGGCUGAUGUUAACACACAUGGGGGGUUAGGAGGAAGGGGUUGGGGACCGGGAGGGGUGCGGGCAUCUCACGCGGCCACGUGCUGGGUGACGAGCAGCUCCUGCCCCCCGGCGCCGGGCUCCACGCGCAGGUGGCCGUGGUCGAUGAGCAGCAGCUCCAGGAGGUGCUGGGGCAGCUGGGCGGCCCCGGCCACGUACCGCCACGUCCCCAGCAGCUGCGGGAGAGGCGUGGGGCUGUGGGGGCUCCCUGCCUGCCCCCCCACCCUCCAUUCAGCACCCGGCCUCCUCCUUACCCCCGGUGCCGUCGCGUUGGCCGGGCUCUGUGUGGGCUCGCAGGGAGCGGCCGCAGCGGGCGGCAGUGCUGUGAGGAUGAGGAUGGCAGCGAUGCCAGCCGCUGCCAUGGCUGCCUGAUGGAGCAGACCAGCAGGAUGACGGACAGAUGGAGGGACGGACAGACGGACGGACGCUGCUCGCUCGGGUGUUUGCUUUCGCAAGGCGGCUGCGCGCAGCAGGGGCUGCGGUGGCGCAACGGCGGCUUUCGGGGAAAUCGCCCCAGUGAGGGCCGGGUGCCCAGCCCCAGCUCAGGGCUCUGACUGGCUGGGCAGCAUGGGGAGGGCGAUGCACUUCCCAUAUUUAAAAGUGAAAUCUGCCCAAAAUUUCCCCGUUUCACUCCCCCCUAUGCAGCUGCUGUAGUGGCUCCACAAGUGAGGAACUGCGCUGCUCACCGGGCCAUGGGUGCUGUCACUGCCUCGUGCCAUGGCGCGGGGCUUUGGGAGCCCUCUGGGUGUGAGCUGUGCUCACAGCGGGGCUGGGAUGGCCCCCGGGGGCUGCCCGGCCUCCAGCCCCAGGCCGGGGACUUUCCCCAUGCCUCAUGUCCAGCUGGCAGCUCACGGCACUGCUGCCCUGGUGCUGUUGCUCGCAGGAAAACUUCCUUGGGGUCUGCCCUGAACCCUCCGUGUAACCUUAUUUGUCCUGCUCAGUGCCCCCCGUGUGCUGCCACGUCUGUGUCUUGCUCCAUGCCCUCACCCCUGGCAGGGCACAGCUUGGGGGCUGGCUCGGUUUCUGUUUGUG